rnacentral:piRNA from 1 species
UGAGGUGUGCACUAUUGCUGCCCCCAC